GAUGGUAGCUUAAACGUUGCAGUCUUAACUUUGUAGUUUUGGAUGUACUUGGUGCCUCCAAAGUCUAGUUUCUAUUGGAUCCAAAAUAGACAUAUUUUUUUCUUUUGAACCUCAAAUAGACAUAUAUUUUAUAUUCAAUUUUUUUUUUGGUUAUCAUUUAUAUGUAAUUUACUUCUUCUUUUUUUUACAUCCGAACUUACAUGUUCAAUAUGAAAAAAGCAAAUAAAAUUCGGAUGUUAACAUACUCAUAACUUAUUAAUGUACUAGAUUUUGACCCGCCCUUCAAAGGGCGGAUAUAUUUUUUUGUUUUAUUUAUUUUUUAGAAUUUAAUUUUUAUAUUUUUGUGUAUUCUUUGAAAUUAGAUUUGUGUUUUUUAAUUCAUAUUUGUGUAUAUAUCUUAAUCAUAAUAUAUUUUAUAAAAUAAUAACAAUUUAAAAGUUGAUCUAGCAUACGUUCGGUUCUUUACAAUUAUAUCUCCAUGUGUAAACAUAUUGUAUGUUUUAAAUUUUGACAUGUGGAUAUAAUGGUUGUUUGUAAUUUUUUUUUUAAUGUUUCCUUAAAUAUGUAACAUUUUUCUGUAAUUUUUUAUUAUAUGUUAAAGAAAUUUAAUUUAUAUACAGUUAUAUAGCGUAGGAUUAUCCUAGUGUAGUGGUUAGUAUAUAUUUAUAGAAAACAUAGGGUUAUAUAACGUAGGGUUAGUUUUUUUUUACUUUGAUAACUUCUCUAAUUAUUGUUUAAAUAAAGUUAGAUACAAUUAUAUAAAAAGAAUAAUAAGAAACUCCUUAAAUAAAAAGAAUAAAUAGUUAGACAUAACAUUUAUUAAUAGAUCAUGGUCUUGUUUUAAUAGAAUAGAUAUAGAUUACAUCACCUGAAACUUU
rnacentral:lncRNA from 1 species